UACGUAGGGUGCAAGCGUUAAUCGGAAUUACUGGGCGUAAAGGGCUCGUAGGUGGCCAACUAAGUCGGAUGUGAAAUCCCCAGGCUCAACUUGGGAGCUGCAUCCGAUACUGGAUGGCUUGAAUUCGGGAGAGGGAUGCAGAAUUCCAGGUGUAGCGGUGAAAUGCGUAGAUAUCAGGAGGAACACCGGUGGCGAAGGCGGGGUCUCUGGGCCGAUACUGACGCUGAGGAGCGAAAGCGUGGGGAGCGAACAGG
rnacentral:rRNA from 1 species